UACGUAGGGUGCAAGCGUUUGUCCGGAAUUAUUGGGCGUAAAGAGCUUGUAGCGGUUGUCGCGUCUGCUAGGUGAAAUUCGGGGCUCAACCCCUGAACUUGCAGGUGGGUACGGGCAGGACUAGAGGUGUGGGUAGGGGAGACUGGAAUUCCUGGUGUAGCGGUGAAAUGCGCAGAUAUCAGGAGGAACACCGAUGGCGAAGGCAGGUCUCGUGGGCCACUACUGACGCUGAGAAGCGAAAGGACAUGGGGGAGCGAACAGG
rnacentral:rRNA from 1 species